GGGGGAAUAGUACAACGGUAGUAUGCUGGUCUCCAAAACCAGAGAUGAGGGUUCAAUUCCUUCUUCCCCUGCCA
rnacentral:tRNA from 1 species